ensembl:lncRNA
UUCUUCUUUGAGUACAAUGGAUAUUGUUGAUGAUACAUGACAAUGUGGGGCUUCCUAGGCCCCUUCCUCUUCAGGUAUGUAGCUUGAAAAUUGUGUUGAGGAGAAAUUAUCAGUGCAGUGGGAGUUCAGUGCAGCAGGGGAUCCCCAGAUGCUGAGGCCCUCUCUCUUUCUCUUAUGCUCUUUAGCGCUGGUGGUCUCAGGGCUCUUUAAUUCAUGGAGGCCAAUGUGAACAAUAAGGUUGACCACCCUGUUGCUGUAGUCAAAUUUCUUGUUUAUCAAGAACUUCGCUUGACAAAGUAGUCAAGUAAAAUGCAAGAACCAGCAACAAAGAUGGAAGAGUGGAUGUCACCAUUGAAGUGAGAGGAGACAACUUGUUCUUCAGUGAAGCCUAGGAUGCCCUUGAGAGGUCCCUCCAGUGCUUGUUUCACCGUCUUUUUUAUGUUGUCAUAUUUUGCAGGUUUCUCCUGAUGCCACAUCAGGCCAGUGACUGACAGAUUGAUUGUUAGGACACAGAAAAUUAAGUCACUAAGCCUCAAAUUAAGCUCAAGGAUGACCUUGCCUACCGCCUUGGCAGUGCCAGUAGAUAUAGGAAUGAUGAUCAGAAGAGCCCCAUGGUAGACACUAUAGUUUACCAGUGGGACCAUUCAUGGUAUUCUGGGUGGCAGUGAUGGCAAGGACUGUGGUCAUGAGUUUCUCCAUGAUGCUAUAUUUGUCAUGGAUAACCUUCACCGGGGGCCUGAGAACUUGCUGAUGCAGACAGUAUUGCUGAUAAUCAUGACACUAUUUUUACUUUUUACUUAUGGUUCAUGUACAUCACGAACACUAGGGCAUCAGUAGAAGAGGCAGAGACUGUAACCCCUUAGGACUUCCAUCUGUGUGAACCCCAGAUGCCUCCAUGCCAGUGAAGAUUCUCUUUGACUCCACAACGUCAGUGGUACCUAAUAUCAUUCUAUUUGAUUUUGGUAGAAUCUUUCUCCUGGAAGAUGGUGAUGGGAUUGUAAUUGGUGAAAAACUUUCUAUUCUCAGUCUUGCUGGUGCGGUAGAACUAGCCAUAGGGAGAAUCAUACUGAAACAUGUAGACAAUGUCAUGUUUCACUGUCAGUGAAGAAGUCAUUGAUGGUUACAGUAUCUACUUUGCCAGAGCUAAAGCAUCCCUGGUCACCAGGUGCCUGAUACAGCCAAAUCUAUUUUUUUGACCUUCACUUUCUGCAUAGUGUCACAGGAAUGAAGCUGGUGCUGCCCAAGACAAUGUUACUGUCAAACAAGAGAGGCAGAAAGUUGAUAUCUGGGUUCCUUUCUUAGUCAAUAUCAGUGUUUCUUUUUCUAAUUUUAUGUUUAAAAGGUCCUUGAGAUUUUGAAAGUUCCAAGAUAAAAUCUGUAGGUUGUCUUGCAUACUAGAGGCAUUUUUGCUGUAUUGUCUUCGUUAUUGUGAAGACAAAAAGUAUUUUCAUUUAGUUUUGUUUUUAACUUUUAAUAAAUAUUUUAUACUUUUCUGUAUACAAAUCUUUUACUUCACUUGUUAAAAUUUAUUUCUAAAUGAGGCCAUCUCAUCCCAGACUCUUCUUGACUCAUAGGUUUUUAUUUCUAAUUCAAUGUCUUUAUUAUUGGUCUGCUCAGGUUUCUAUAUCUUAAUGAUCCAGGCUUCAUAGAUUGUAUGGUUUUAGAAAAUGUAUUUAUUUCUAAAAAUGUAUGUAGGUUAUUACAUAGAAAGUAAUAGAAAAACACCAGUUGAUUGCUGCCU